rnacentral:lncRNA from 1 species
ACCACUCAUAAUCGACAUCGUCUACACCCAGCAAGAAAACACCGCAGCUGUUGUC